rnacentral:rRNA from 1 species
AUGGCCAUGUGGUCUAGCCUCGAGGAGUCGCCGGCCGGCGUCCAGGCCUAUGCACCGCCACAGCCACCCGCGCCCGCGCUGCCCAUCUACGUGUCGUGCAUGUCCAUUUGGCUAGGUGCGAAGAAGGAGGAAGAGCGGCAACACCUCUACAAAUGGGAGGGUCGUGCGCCCGUUUGGCUGCGGGCGGUUUUCGAGCCUAAGUACUUGGGGCUGCUAGUGCCGCAAGGAAGAAUGCAUAAAGGCAGAUUUGAGAGUACCCAAGAAAGGUUGAGUAAGAGGCUCGUGGAUUGGAGCGAGCAAUAUACAUCCACCGGUACUAAGGAGAUUCUUAUAAAGUCGGUGGCGCAGGCGAUCUCCACCUACAUCAUGAGCAUGUUCAAGCUUCCGGCUUCCGUUUGUGAUGACUUAACUCGGCUUAUGAGACAAUACUGGUGGGGCGUGGAAAACGGGAAGAUGGCUUGGUUGAGUUGGGAGAAGAUGAUCUUACCCAAAGCUAAAGGGGGGAUGGGCUUUUGA